UUCCUGAAAUACAUCCCAUACGUGAAAACCGAGCCCGAAUUAUGAUAUAGUAUUAAAAAUAAAUGGAAAACAAGAAAAAGCGGGCCGCGUAAGCUACCCGUUAAGUUCACGCGGGCCGCGUGGGAGCUAAAAGGUGGCGCAGCCCGGUGGGGCCACGUGGCCCAACACCCGGCAAGUCUAUGAGCUGACCCAGCCAAGCUACGCAUUGACCUGGGGUCAACGCGGGCCGCGUAGGCCCAGCCCUAAUGUUACGCGGGCCGCGAGGAAGACGGAUUUCAGCACUAUAUAAAGAGGCAUCAGGCCUUCAGUCUGCUUCGUUCAAAAUCGUUUCUUUCUCUCUCAAAAUUAAAUAGUGGGCAUUAUACUCGGGUCUAAUACCCCCCUAAUUAGCGAAGCUCUGCCUCGUUACUAUAACCAGGGAAUCACAAAGGAAAGCCCUAUAAUAGCAAUGUAACUUAGUGUGAAGCCAAUAAAAGCCAGCUGGAGAGC
rnacentral:lncRNA from 1 species